GACUCUCGGCAACGGAUACCUCGGCACUCACAUCGAUGACGAACGUAGUGAAAUGUGAUACUUCAUGUGAAUUGCAGAAUCCCGUGAACCAUUGAGUCUUUAAACGCAAGUUGCGCCCGAAGCCAUUAGGCCGAGGGCACAUCUGCCUGGGCGUCA